UAGAACUGAACCUCAAGUUACAGAGUCGAUAUCUAUGAGAUUCUAAGUGACCCUGUACAGCGUAUGGUUUACGAUGAAAUUCAUGGUUAUGCUGUGACUGCCACCAAUCCUUUUCUUGAUGACUCUAGCCCAAGAGAUCAUGUUUUUGUUGAUGAGUUUGCUUGUAUAGGCUGCAAAAAUUGUGCCAAUGUGGCUCCAGAUAUAUUUGAAAUUGAGGAAGAUUUUGGAAGAGCAAGGGCCUGUAACCAGCAUGGCAACCCAGAGUUAAUUCAGCUAGCGUUGAGACAUGCCCGGUUGAUUGCAUCCAUCAGACUUCUGCUGCACAGUUGUCAUUGCUUGAAGAUGAGAUGCGAAGGGUUGAAAGAGUGAAUGUUGCUCUGAUGCUUUCUGGAAUGGGGUCAGGAGCAGUUGAUGUUUUCAGAAUGGCGAGAUCUCGAUGGGAAAAGAGGCAAGCAAAAGUUUUGAAUCAAGCUAGAAGUAGAAUGAUGAAGCG